rnacentral:rRNA from 1 species
AGCCCAGAGCCUGAAUCAGUGUGUGUGUUAGUGGAAGCGUUUGGAAAGGCGCGCGAUACAGGGUGACAGCCCCGUACACAAAAAUGCACAUGCUGUGAGCUCGAUGAGUAGGGCGGGACACGUGGUAUCCUGUCUGAAUAUGGGGGGACCAUCCUCCAAGGCUAAAUACUCCUGACUGACCGAUAGUGAACCAGUACCGUGAGGGAAAGGCGAAAAGAACCCCGGCGAGGGGAGUGAAAAAGAACCUGAAACCGUGUACGUACAAGCAGUGGGAGCACAGAGCAAUCUGUGUGACUGCGUACCUUUUGUAUAAUGGGUCAGCGACUUAUAUUCUGUAGCAAGGUUAACCGAAUAGGGGAGCCGAAGGGAAACCGAGUCUUAACUGGGCGUUAAGUUGCAGGGUAUAGACCCGAAACCCGGUGAUCUAGCCAUGGGCAGGUUGAAGGUUGGGUAACACUAACUGGAGGACCGAACCGACUAAUGUUGAAAAAUUAGCGGAUGACUUGUGGCUGGGGGUGAAAGGCCAAUCAAACCGGGAGAUAGCUGGUUCUCCCCGAAAGCUAUUUAGGUAGCGCCUCGUGAAUUCAUCUCCGGGGGUAGAGCACUGUUUCGGCAAGGGGGUCAUCCCGACUUACCAACCCGAUGCAAACUGCGAAUACCGGAGAAUGUUAUCACGGGAGACACACGGCGGGUGCUAACGUCCGUCGUGAAGAGGGAAACAACCCAGACCGCCAGCUAAGGUCCCAAAGUCAUGGUUAAGUGGGAAACGAUGUGGGAAGGCCCAGACAGCCAGGAUGUUGGCUUAGAAGCAGCCAUCAUUUAAAGAAAGCGUAAUAGCUCACUGGUCGAGUCGGCCUGCGCGGAAGAUGUAACGGGGCUAAACCAUGCACCGAAGCUGCGGCAGCGACACUGUGUGUUGUUGGGUAGGGGAGCGU